AUUGAACGCUGGCGGAAUGCUUUACACAUGCAAGUCGGGCGGCAGCGCGGGGGCAACCCUGGCGGUGAGCGGCGAACGGGUGAGUAAUGCAUCGGAACGUACCCAAUUGUGGGGGAUAACCAUCCGAAAGGAUGGCUAAUACCGCAUAAGUCCUGAGGGAGAAAGCAGGGGAUCGCAAGACCUUGCGCAAAUGGAGCGGCCGAUGCCGGAUUAGCUAGUUGGUAGGGUAAAGGCCUACCAAGGCGACGAUCCGUAGCUGGUCUGAGAGGAUGAUCAGCCACACUGGAACUGAGACACGGUCCAGACUCCUACGGGAGGCAGCAGUGGGGAAUUUUGGACAAUGGGGGCAACCCUGAUCCAGCCAUGCCGCGUGAGUGAAGAAGGCC
rnacentral:rRNA from 1 species